GUCCAGACUCCUACGGGAGGCAGCAGUGGGGAAUAUUGCACAAUGGGGGAAACCCUGAUGCAGCGACGCCGCGUGGGUGAAGGAGCGUUUCGGCGCGUAAAGCCCUAUCGGCAGGGAAGAAGGAGGACGGUACCUGACUAAGAAGCCCCGGCUAACUACGUGCCAGCAGCCGCGGUAAUACGUAGGGGGCAAGCGUUAUCCGGAUUUACUGGGUGUAAAGGGGGCGCAGACGGCAGCGCAAGCCAGGAGUGAAAGCCCGGGGCCCAACCCCGGGACUGCUCUUGGAACUGCGCGGCUGGAGUGCAGGAGGGGCAGGCGGAAUUCCUGGUGUAGCGGUGAAAUGCGUAGAUAUCAGGAGGAACACCGGCGGCGAAGGCGGCCUGCUGGACCGUAACUGACGUUGUGGCUCGAAAGCGUGGGGAGCAAACAGGAUUAGAUACCCUGGUA
rnacentral:rRNA from 1 species